rnacentral:lncRNA from 1 species
GGUAGGGAUCCAACUUCUCCUCCCAAUAUCUGUGUCAGUUGCUCUAUGUUGUUAACUUCAUUAAUGGGGAAAAUAUUGCUCUUUCUCCGGUUGAUGUGUAAUCUCGAGACUCCCUCAAAUAAGACCAAAAUGAUCCUAAGGAAUCUAAGUUGUUCCUUUUUAGCGUUACAAAAGACUAGAGUAUCAUCUAACAUAUUGGAAAUGUGUGAUCUCUAUAUUGUUUGCCCCACUCAUGUUUACCUCAAAAC